rnacentral:rRNA from 1 species
UACAGAGGGGGCAAGCGUUGUUCGGAAUUACUGGGCGUAAAGCGUGCGCAGGCGGUUUUGUAAGCCAGAUGUGAAAGCCCCGGGCUUAACCUGGGAAUGGCAUUUGGGACUGCAAGGCUGGAGUACGGCAGAGGGAGGUGGAAUUCCAGGUGUAGCAGUGAAAUGCGUAGAUAUGCGGAGGAACACCGAUGGCGAAGGCAAUCCCCUGGGCCUGCACUGACGCUCAUGCACGAAAGCGUGGGGAGCAAACAGG